rnacentral:lncRNA from 1 species
AAAAAUUAGCAUAUUGGCACGGAAAAGUGUCCAAAACGGAAAAAAAUUAGCAUAUUAGCACGGAAAAGUGCCCAAAACGGAAAAAAUUAGCAUAUUAGCACGGAAAAGUGCCCAAAAGGGAAAAAAAUUAGCAUAUUAGCACGGAAAAGUGCCCAAAACGGAAAAAAAUUAGCAUAUUGGCACGGAAAAGUGUCCAAAACGGAAAAGAUUAGCAUAUUAGCACGGAAAAGUGCCCAAAACGGAAAAAAAUUAGCAUAUUGGCACGGAAAAGUGUCCAAAACGGAAAAAAAUUAGCAUAUUAGCACGGAAAAGUGCCCAAAACGGAAAAAAAUUAGCAUAUUAGCACGGAAAAGUGCCCAAAACGGAAAAAAAUUAGCAUAUUAGCACGGAAAAGUGCCCAAAACGGAAAAAAAUUAGCAUAUUGGCAUAGAAAAGUGCCCAAAACGGAAAAAAUUAGCAUAUUAGCACGGAAAAGUGUCCAAAACGGAAAAGAUUAGCAUAUUAGCACGGAAAAGUGCCCAAAACGGAAAAAAAUUAGCAUAUUAGCACGGAAAAGUGCCCAAAACGGAAAAAAAUUAGCAUAUUGGCACGGAAAAGUGCCCAAAACGGAAAAAAAUUAGCAUAUUGGCACGGAAAAGUGUCCAAAACGGAAAAGAUUAGCAUAUUAGCACGGAAAAGUGCCCAAAACGGAAAAAAUUAGCAUAUUGGCACGGAAAAGUGCCCAAAACGGAAAAAUAUUAGCAUAUUGGCACGGAAAAGUGUCCAAAACGGAAAAAAAUUAGCAUAUUAGCACGGAAAAGUGCCCAAAACGGAAAAAAAUUAGCAUAUUAGCACGGAAAAGUGCCCAAAACGGAA